AAGCCCAUUCCCACUUAACACGCAAAUGUUGAGAGGCUAAGACGCAUACUACUUUAACUAUAAAUUGUUGUGUCUUUAAGGUAUUUUGCACUUCUUAAUUCAUAAUAAAAGAGUCUUUUUAGUUUCAAAUGGCACACACAAAUUUAAAUAGUGCCUAUAAAAGAAUUAGCAGAAGCAUUAAAAGAUUUUUCUCUAUCUCUUCGCCUGUCACAAAUGAACUGUUUUUAAAAAUUAAGAACUAUACUGACACUGUACUUCAGAAAACACUCUACAGUGUUAGAUAGAAAUUUUCACCAGAAUUUCUAUCAUGUUUUUUGGAAACACUAAACAGGAUAGAAAUUCUGCAGAAA
rnacentral:lncRNA from 1 species